rnacentral:tRNA from 1 species
GAGGUCUUAGCUUAAUUAAAGCAUUUGAGUUGCAUUCAGAGGAUGUAUUUUAGAGUAAUACAGGUCUUC